CGCGCCUCGGACGCACCCCCGCCGCCGCCGCCGCCGCCGCGGCCUCCUCCACCUCCUCCGCCUCCGACUCCGCCAUAGCCGGCCCCGGGCCCGGGCUACCGGCCGGUCCGCUACCUGUUGUGGCGCGCUGCUGCUGGCAGAGGUUGGCAGCAAUGGAUGUCGUUAGUGUGGGCAGCUGCCUGAUGGCGGGCCUGCUGUACUAUGGCACCUUGGAUGCGGGUUUUGUCUACGACGACAGCCGGGCGGUGCUGUCGAACCCGGACGUGGCGGGCGCGACGCCGGCGUGGCGGCUGCUGGUGCACGACUACUGGGGCACGCCGCUGCGGCACGGCGGCUCGCACGG